rnacentral:lncRNA from 1 species
CGCUUUUUACCUGAAAAUCGAACUGAGAUACGUGAUCUUUGAUCUCCAACAAUAAUGCAAUGUCGUUACAGUUGUUCAGCUGAGUAAAAGGUAGCACGAUGAUCAAUUUUCCAGCAUUAAUUGUAUCUGAAAUUGAGUCCACUUGGCUCAGAGAAGGUGCUUGGUCAUGCAAGAAAAAGAAAAGGCAGAAAGCAAUGACAGAUGCUGUACGCAUACAACUCACGGAUACAUACAGCUGUUUAUGUCGGUAGGACAUGAUUGAGACAAUAGAUCAUUAGAAACCAAAGACCAAAUCACAGAUUAUUAGUCGAGCAUAGAGAAAUGGCUUUUGCUGCUUCACUUGGGAUUCUCUUCAAACCUUCCAAUCCUAAAAUGCUCGAGCUCCACCCCAUCUGCAUGCCCAGUGAGUGCGAGGUCCGCCAGUAUCUUCCCUACCGCUGGAGCCAUCUUGAAUCCGUGACCCGAAAACCCACCACCUAUCACCACAUCCUCCCUGAACUCCCCUCCCAAGAAAUCGAUCACAUAAUCCUCGUCCGGUGUCAUCGAGUACAUACAGGUCUGCAUGGACACGGGUGCGCAGCCAUCCACCAGUCCCAGAAAUCUCCCCUUGAUCCACUCUUUCAGGGAAUCCAACUCCAGCUCGGGCCUCCACUGCCUUCUAUCGGGAUCACACUGGCAUCCGUCGUGCAGUGUGAUCUUGAUCAGCCCCGGGAAUUCCAAGGACGGCGUCCCGUAUACACCCACAUCUCCAUAGCCGAUGAACGUCGGGAAAUUGCCUCCGAUGGCAUAUUUCUCCUCGUGACCCUCCUUGAUCUUCCAAUAACACACUGUGGCGUGCACGGGUUGAAUCGGCAAUUCAAACCCAGCGAUUGAACGAACCAGCUUCCUGGUCCAAGCCCCAGCAGUGACCACACAUUUCCUGCACCAGAACUUGUCGCCCCUGGUGGUACAGACCACUAUGCCUCCUUUCACUUCAUCUCUCCUAAUUUCCUUCACUUCCAUGUUGUCCCUCAGCACAGCUCCCUUUUGAAAUGCGAGCGCUUGGAACAUGGACACCGCUUUUGUCGGCUUAAUGACACCGCCAAGCUCAGUAUACACCGCAAUCCAAUCCUCUGGUAUGCUGAGCUUUCCGGAGAAUUUGUCAGCGAAUUGGCCAUGGUCUAGAAUCUGAUAAGGGAAUGAGUUCUUAUCACAGUUCGCUAUGACUGCUUUGAGGCUAGCACUCCCCCCUGGCCCCAUGUCAAGAUGGUCGGUGUCAGUGUAGACGCUGUAGCCCGCCUCUGACUCGGCCUCUCUCCACAGUUUCGAGGACUCCACGGCCAUCUUGGUGUAGUAGUCCUUCUUGUACGUCGCGCGCAUCCCGCGAGACUCGCCGUGCGAAGAGCCACGGUGGUGCAGGAAGUCGAACUGCUCGAGUAAGAGUGUCUUCUGACCUCUUUUGGCAGUUUGGUAAGCCGUGGAGCUGCCCAUGACGCCUCCACCGAUCACUAUCACGUCGAACUCAAUUCUGCAAGAAGAAUCCAUAGCUCUGUACUGUGUGUGCGUCUCUCUCUCUCUCUCUCUCAACCUGGUUAAGCUAAAUUACGCUGGUUUGGUUUGAACAUAUAAGCAAAAGAAGACUGACUAGUCCUGGACUACCAUGGCCUAGCGGCGGACGUGGCCUCCGAGCACCAGAUUUGAUACUUAUACCACCAAGGAAAGCUAGACGAAAUUUUUCACAGCACCAUAGUCGGACUAUUGCGACAUGUCCCUUCAGUCACGAUAAAACAAAAGCAAAAUUACGACAUUCGCAAUGCUUUAGGCAAUGCAUAGUUAUUUUGAAAAUGAAUUUGACUUGAAUGAUUUGUUGCCAAAACGUUUACAAAGCUUUUUUCCAUUCAAGGUGAGUUGCGAGGAAAGUCGCUUCUCGACCUAAACAUCCGCCUCUCUUGAAUUGACAUAGUCUUCUUUUUGUUAUUUUUAGAUUCACAUAAACUUUACCUAAGUUUUAAUCAGAAGAAGUAUACCCCAAGUGCCAAAACUUAGCUCGGAGGAACACUUAAAGUGGCAAAAGUUAGAAAAGUGAUACUUAAGUGUCAUUUCCGGCGAAUUCCGUCGAAAAUCUUACGUGACAAUUUUUUAUUAUUUUUCUCACCUAUGUAACUCGCCGAAAAGUUGACUCAGCAAAAAAACACAAAAACAACGUCGUUUUUGCACGGAUUUGAAUUUUAAUAUAAAAAUUAAUUAAAUUAAAUUAUAAAAAUAAUUAAAUAAUAAUGAAAUGAGAAGGAAAGGAGAAGGCGGCUGAGGGCUAAGCCCUCACCGUCACUGCCUCCUCUCUCUCCCUUUUUAAAUUUUUUUUUAAUGUUUUAAAUAAAUUUAAUUUUAAAUUUAAUUUAAUUAAUUUUUAUAUUAAUUAUUUAUCACAUCAUAGACAAAACGACGUCAUUUUACAUUUCUAGUCAUGUCAGCAUACAAAUGACGUCGUUUUGUACUUACCUCGUCGGAAAAUUGUUAUUUUAGCAUUUUAAUCGGAUUUUCUCACAAUUAGCACUUAAGUGAUCCAUUUUGCUUCGAUUUUAACACUUAAGUGUCACUUUUCUAACUUUUGAUACUUAAGUAUCACUCUGUGCCAAGUUUUAGCACUCCAAGUGUUCUGCACUCUAAGUCAAUCGCCCUCUUUCAUUUUUUUAAAUACUUGUGUUGGUAAGCUUGCUCUUUGGGCAAUGUUAAUAAUCCAAUCGAUUACAUCAGUAAACAAUGACAGAGGCUUGGAUAUGUACAUGGUUAUGCAUUUUUAGUCAACUCAAGAGUAGCAAAGAGGGAUCUUGCUUCUUCCCCGAAACGCCGGUCUAAACGAAAGUUCAGUGCUCUUUCCAAGGAAAAAUGUUUUUGAUUGGAAGAUGAUAUGAUGAUGGAUUGGGACAGAGAGUGACAUGUUUGUUCAGGGAACAACAAGAUAUUUCCUCCAGCCCACUUGCAAUAAGCUUUUUCAUUGCAAUUAUUUUUAUGCAAAAGACAACUUCUCUACAUAAAGUCACAACCCUUAUCAUAUCUUAGUACUACCCUUGGAUAAGGAUAAUGAUGCCGCCUUACAUAUUUAUUGAGAUUAAUUAUUAAAUCCAGUGAUCAUGACCAUUCAUUUUAAAAUUUGCUAUCUUUUAUAGUGCUAUUAAAGUUAUCUUGAACUUACUUGCUCUUGGGGGGAUUCAUCAUACCCUUAUAUAGGUUUGCUUCCUCAACCUAGUAAUUUUGUAUGCUUUUCAAUCAAAUCCUUUGAUGUGAUAGCUAAUGCUUUUAUGUCUCAUUAUACAUCUACUUUUUUGAAGAGAGAUCACGAUGAAUGAUAUUAGGUCUGCUUUGUUGAAAGACAUUAGAAGAAUGUUAAGCUCUCAUUUUAAGUGUGAGCAUACCUUGCGAAAAGGAAAUUAUGUUGCCGAUUGGUUUGUCAAUCUUGAAAUAAAGACACACUUGGACACUAUGUUCUAUUCACAGCCUCCAAGAGUUUUUUUUUUUUUUUUUUGGUCGAGUCCUAGAGAGUUUUUUUUUUUUUGUCAGUCUUACUCUAUGCAUAUUCUACACUCACUCUCAGACUUUUGCCCGAGUCCUAGAGAGUUGAUUCAUGCUUUGUUAGGUGGUGAAAUAGAGACAAUAAAUUUUUAGAUGUUAUUUUUUUUUGUUUACAUUUAUUUACCUAAAAAAGAAAACAAGAAGUUUAUUAUUGUCUAAAAACAAUCAACAAGCGGACUUAGCUUGCUAUACCAAACCUAAAAAUCUCUUCCUAGAUCAACCCCAUGAUUAAUUUUUUUUCUUGGUAUUGGUGAGUUGAGCCUUUAAAGGAAAUUAUUUCUUAACGCUUGUCUAUUUAACUCUUUAGAUCAAUCGGGCUAAAUCGGGUUGUUAGACGAGCGUAUUACUUCCUUUUACCUAUGAACUUUAGCUUUGAAUUAGUUCAUCUAACAAGCAAAAAUUCAUGAUCAUAGUUUAGGAAGAUUUUGGAUCUCUACAUUCACUAAAUUCUAAGAGUUAGUAAGGGAGUGCAUGACAACCCAAAAUUUCUGUUCCAGAAAUAGUUUUUAUGUUCCAGACCUGUUUCUGGAAGAGAAAUCCAUUUGAUAAACUUAUUCAGUUUUUCUAUUUCUGGAAUAGAUUUCUAUUCCAGAAAUAAGUUUGGAAGAGAAAUCAGAAGCUAAAAUUUUAUACUUCUGAUUUCUGAAAGAGAAAUCAAAAAUAAUUUCUCUCACUAAACCUAAUUUCGGUGAGUCCUCCCUCAUCUCCUCUACGUCUUUGCCUCCUCCUCUUCCUCCGCCUCUCCUCAUUUUAUUAAAAAUAAAAAUAAAUGUAUUCAUUUUAUUCAUUUAAAAAUAAAAAUAAAUUUAUUAAAAUAAAUAAAAAUAAUUUAUUUUUAUUAAAAAUAAAUUUAUUAUUAUUUACCUUGAGUGUUUUGCCAAAUCAAUUUUUUUUUAUUUUUUGUUUUUAUUCAUUUUAAAAUAAAUUUAUUCAUAAAAUAAAAUCAAAUAAAUAAAAUAAAAUAAAAUUUAUUUUUAUAUUUUUAUUUUAAAAUAAAAUGAUAUUUUUAUUUUAUUUUUUUGUGAUUUAUUUUAUUUUAUUUUAUUCAUUAUUUUUUUUUGUCACUAAAUCAUUUUUAUUUUUAUUUUUUAUAUUAAAGGUCGUCUGUCGUCGCCACCGCCGUCCGAAAGGAAGAAAUUUUGUGUCGUUAUUAAACGAAUUUCUAUUUUUAGAGUAGAAAUUUUGUGUCGUUAUCAAACAGUUAUUUUUGCUUAGAAACUCUUCUAGAAAUAGAAAUAGAAAAAUCUAUUUCUGUUUCAGAAACAAUUUCUGGAAUAUAAUAGUUGUCAUGCGCACCCUUUCCCACCUAAAAGUUACCAAUUUUAGUAGUUUAUACUUAAUCAAAGUCUUAUCUAUCCUAUAUCAAUAUUUAUUUAAAUCCUGCUCCAUAAUGAAAUUACCGAGAUCUGUCCAUCUCUUCGAAAGCAAUCAUGGCAUUAAUACCAAUCUUGACUUUCCUCUGUCAUGGCCUUUUUGUGGAAGUCAUGAAUGCGAUGCUACAAUUUCCCCAAAACGCAAUUGCUCUCAUGUUGCCGGCUGAGAUCUGUCCAUCUCUUCGAGAGCAAUCAUGGCAUUAAUACCAAUCUUGACUUUCCUCUGUCAUGGCCUUUUUGUGGAAGUCAUGAAUGCGAUGCUACAAUUUCCCCAAAACGCAAUUGCUCUCAUGUUGCCGGCUUCGCUAGAUUCUUGGAAGCCCAAACACCCUUUGCAAAGCCAAUUUCAAACGCAGCAUUUAUCUUGGUUUGCAAUGUGAUGUUCUUAAUUAGCUUAAUGCACCUGAUUUGUUGGCUUGUGAGCGAAUUCUUUGCAAAUUGAAUAUUUAUUUAGGAAGUACUCUUAACAAGUGUCUCAAGACAGCAUCUUGUGGACACUUGUUAACAUAACUUAAAAUCCCAUUUUGAAUUUUAUUUGCUUUAUAUUACAGCCAUCGCUUAGAGCAGCGGAAUUGGUGCCUUCAACCUUUCUAUACAUCUGUUUGCUUCUACUUAUUCUUUUAAUCUUGUCGAUAGCAUGUCGAGUGAUGUGAGUCAGUCUGCGCAUCUCAUGCAUGCGGUUCGAUUCGAAUACAGCAGCCACUACUUGCUGUAGAUAUAUGAUGAUGGCGAGAGUGAGUGAAGAACUUUGGGACGACGGUGGAGCUUAUGGCCAAUACGAUCAAGUCACUUGUGUCGGCGUGACGAAGUCAGGUGAUCCAAAUCAAUGCAUCGGAGGCGGGACGGUGGUGGCGAAGAUUGCGGAUGUUUGCCGGCCCAUCUUGUUUCAGAGAACUAUUGAUAUGACGCAAGAAGCAUUUCACUAACACAGCAAGUCCUAACAAUCUGCCUCUCAGCAUAACAUAUAGCCCGUGGUCCUUGUUCAUACAUUGUGUUCAUAUACUAGCGGCCGUUUUUUUUUCUUUUUAUGUAUAUCUAUACUUAAAUUAAGUCAUAGUAAUUUCUUGAUUGCAUUCAAGGCACGUCUCUCUCUUGUUGCAAUGCUAGAACAGCAUUUAUCACUUUGUAUUCAAGGCACAUCUCUCAGCCUUGAAUGUUCAAUAUUAUCAUUGAAUUCGAAUUAAUAGAAUAUGUUCAUACAAUUUAAGGAUUAAAUUGAGUAUGAACUUUUUAUAGAGCUAAAAUUUAACAAUCAUAUCGAAUAAAUUAAAAAAUUAAAAACACGUCACAUAUUAAAUUAAGAAUUUAUGAUCGUCACAAAAGAAGCCUUUGAGAUCCCAAGUGGGACACAGUCAACCAAUAAAGCCAAUGGCACCACGAGCCACAGACCUGGUUUUGUCUCUCAUGACAUUCUUACGGUUCACUAUCUUGCUCUUCAGAACCUCCGCUCAGAGAUAUGGGAUCGCUACCUUUUACACUUCACCUUACAAGCGUAAGGCAUUUCGUUGUGUUUGUUUCUGCUGUUAACAGUAUCUUGUUCAACUGUACUGAUGGGAGAAGGUGUUUUUUUCUAUGUGUCGAGAUAAUGCAGCCUUGCUUGUUAUGGCUUUGAACAUCAGGGAAUGAUGAUAGCAGCAGCAAGCGAAGCAAUUUGGAACGGCGGCGCCACUUGUGGCCAACACUACCAAGUCACGUGCCUCAGCGGGAUGAACCUAGGCAUCCCAAAGCCAUGCCGUGGAAGCACUUUGGUGGUGAUGCAGAUUGUGGACCGCUGCCCUGCCAAUGCGUGCCGAGGAACUAUUCAUUUGUCACAAGAAGCAUCUGCAUCUAUAGCGGUUCCAAAUGCCGGAGCUAUUAACAUAAAUUAUUAGAAGUAUGUGGAUCUUGUUCCCUGUAAUUUGCGAGGCUAUUGUACGAUUAUUGCCGUGACAUAAGGCUGAACUGGUUCGAUUAAGAUCCUGUGCUGGAGUAACUUCUGAUGGAAAUGGAACCAUUCCCCAAAUAAGGAAAACCCACUGAAGUUUAGCAUCAACUCCUUGUGAAGUUCUUUAAUUUUUUUAAUGCUUUUGGCAAAUGUAGUAAAUUAUGUUUUUGCCUUGUCUUCUCCUUGAGCGAGCUAUGUUUGUUAAUCUGGUCAUAUACUCCACAUGACUUACUAUCAGUCCGAACAGGAAAAGCUCAAAAGCAUUCGAUCUUAACCUUUCGUACUCGGUUCCAGUCAUAACGUCCAUUGGCACUGUCACUAACGAUCUUUCGCUUUUCACCUGAAAAUCGAACUGAGAUACGUGAUCUUUGAGCUCCAACAAUAAUGCAAUGUCGUUACAGUUGUUCAGCUGAGUAAAAGGAAGCACGAUGAUCGAUUUUCCAGCAUUAAUUGUAUCUGAAAUUGAUUCCACUUGGCUCAGAGAAGGUGCUUGGUCAUGCAAGAAAAAGAAAAGGCAGAAAGCAAUGACAGAU